UACAGAGGGUGCAAGCGUUAAUCGGAAUUAUUGGGCGUAAAGGGUGCGUAGGUGGUUAUCUAAGUGAGGUGUGAAAGUCCUGGGCUUAACCUGGGGAUUGCGCCUUAUACUGGGUGACUAGAGUCUUGUAGAGGGAAGUGGAAUUUCCGGUGUAGCAGUGAAAUGCGUAGAUAUCGGAAGGAACAUCAGUGGCGAAGGCGACUUCCUGGACAAAGACUGACACUGAGGCACGAAAGCAUGGGGAGCAAACAGG
rnacentral:rRNA from 1 species